CAGCCCCUGCAGGAAGGCCGGCACAGGACACAAGAACAGGACCGUGCCCGUGGCCGUUUCCGCAGGGCAGCACAGGCCUUUCUGAAGUUCCUGGGCAUUCGACGUAAAAGGACCACAACCAGACUGACUAAGGCCAUGGCACAGCCUGACCUCAGGCUGACUGGGCUGGAGAUGAAGCCUGAUGUCAGCACUGCACUGACUGAUGGCACAGGAAACUGUGACACCUCGCCGAUUGUUCACACAGCAGAGUCUGACCCUGCUUUGACUGAGGAUACAACAGACACUGACACCUCACCGAUUGAUUGUGCAGCAACCUCUGACAUCGCGUUGACCGA